UACUGCUACGACUACAGAGCAGAGCUCGAAUCCCGACUUGAUCACCUCGCGGUAGCUCCCAUUGGAUACUCGGAAGGCUCGGUCCCGAUGAGAGAAUUGGAGUUUGUGUUCAUUGGAACCCCCCGCACGAAGAAGCAUCUUUAUGCGUAGAAGCUCUCCAGGCUGCUUGCAGUUCCUCAUAUUUCCAUGGACAGCUUGGUUCGCCAAGAACUUAGCCCUCGCUCGUUCUUAUAUAGACAGCAGAAGAUUGUUGAUCAACUUGCCAUGAUCGGUCCGAUCGUGAAUUUCAGAUGCGUGAACUUUUGUUCCGUUAAAUAUCAUAUGGGUACUUCUUCUUCCCGUUCUUCGGUUCUUGUGAGAAACGAGCUUCUGUUCUACAUACGAUGAUGUAAAUCCUUAAGGCUUAUUGACGAACUAGAUUCAGAAGGUGCCUGGAAGAAAGAACUCCAAAUCUAUGCUGAGCAGGAACUACAAGAUCGAUGUUUUGAUAUUCGAGGGUCGCACCUUAUUUAAUUCGCUAAACGCAUUAGUUGUUUA